CCUACGGGUGGCAGCAGUGGGGAAUAUUGCACAAUGGGCGAAACCCUGAUGCAGCAACGCCGCGUGAGGGAUGAAGGCCUUCGGGUUGUAAAGCUCUUUCCUCAAGGAAGAUAAUGACGGUACUUGAGGAAGAAGCCCCGGCUAACUACGUGCCAGCAGCCGCGGUAAUACGUAGGGGGCUAGCGUUAUCCGGAUUUACUGGGCGUAAAGGGUGCGUAGGUGGUUUCUUAAGUCAGAGGUGAAAGGCUACGGCUAAACCGUGGUAAGCCUUUGAAACUGGGGUACUUGAGUGCAGGAGAGGAGAGUGGAAUUCCUAGUGUAGCGGUGAAAUGCGUAGAUAUUAGGAGGAACACCAGUUGCGAAGGCGGCUUUCUGGACUGUAACUGACGCUGAGGCACGAAAGCGUGGGGAGCAAACAGGAUUAGAUACCCUAGUAGUC
rnacentral:rRNA from 1 species